CCUACGGGAGGCAGCAGUGGGGAAUAUUGCACAAUGGGGGAAACCCUGAUGCAGCGAAGCCGCGUGAGUGAAGAAGUAUUUAGGUACGUAAAGCUCUAUUAGCAGGGAAGAAAAUGACGGUACCUGACUAAGUAGCCCCGGCUAACUACGUGCCAGCAGCCGCGGCAAUACGUCGUGGGCAAGCGGUAUACGGAUUUACUGGGGGUAAAGGGAGCGUAGACGGCAGCGCAAGUCUGGAGUGAAAUCCCAUGGCUUAACCAUGAAAUUGCUUUGGAAACUGUGAAGCUAGAGUGCAGGAGAGGUAAGCGGAAUUCCUAGUGUAGCGGUGAAAUGCUUAUAUAUUAGGAGGAACACCAGUGGCGAAGGCGGCUUACUGGACUGUAACUGACGUUGAGGCUCGAAAGCGUGGGUAGCAAACAGGAUUAGAUACCCGGGUAGUC
rnacentral:rRNA from 1 species